AAUACCAGUCUUUGUAAUACACCGCGGUAACUCGGAUGGAACCGGAGCCACGCUCCUCCCCCAUUCGCCUCCUCCUCGCCACCAUCGACGGCCCCCGCGCACCAGUUUUGGUCGCAGGUGGCUAAGGAAGCAGUCUUUCGGAUACUUAGCGUGGUUUGCUUCGUCGAUCUCUCCGUCCUAAGGAUAGGCAAUAGAAUACUUUGCUAAUUGCUAUGGAACGGCAAGGCAGGGGUGACCAUGAAGGGGUCAAUGUUGUUGGAUUUGAAGUUCCAACAUCACCAGAUUCAAGCUACAACAACCCUGUUCCUGGAAAUGAGGAUGAGGCUCGAGAACCCCCGUUGGUUCCUCCUCAUCUGCAGCAUACAUUACUGAGCUUCCCGCCAAGCCAAGACGACUCAAGCAGCCUCCCUCCACCUCAAAACGUGGUACUAAACCACCUCUACAUAGAGAAAGAGAACUCAAGAUCCGUCGUUGCUCUGGGGAUUACCCAUCGGUUCAGGGCAAAGUUUGUGACUGUUGUACUGUACAAGCCCGUACAAAGGCGGUAGGGGUGAAACAUUUUGUGUUACCCGCGUUCCUGCUUCCAUUUCCUCGCGCGGGAGCUAGAUACCAAUGUGGGUUGCGAGCUGCCAAACAAAUAGAAACACUCCCCCUGUUGUAGUAGUCCUGCGGAAACAGAGGAACGAUCUCGCUGCCCAUGAAUCUCAAAUGAUUCAACCCCUUGUACUUAAUUGGCUGUUGGUUGAGGUGAUGAUGGUCCAGUUGAAUGUUGGUUAGCCA